GCUUUGCAUGAAGCCUCUUGUCCAGGUGU
rnacentral:piRNA from 1 species